ACGGCUAUACCAUGCUGAAUAUACCGGCCGGUUCUCUUUGAUCACCGAAGUUCAAGCAUCAUCGGGCGCGGCCAGUACUUGGGAGGGUGACCACGUAGGAACACCACGUGCCGUU